AUGAACAUUCUAGCUUGGAACUGUCGGGGGUUGGGGUUGGACCCGGCAGUGGGCGAGCUAAGGGACCUGAUCAGGUCAUACAACCCAACGGUGGUAUUCUUGUCUGAAACAAAAAAGACCUCACGUGCUAUGGAGAGACUAAAGUGGAGCCUAGGGUUCAGACAUGGGGUAGCUGUUAAUUGCAAUGGCAAGAGUGGGGGGUUAGCGUUGUGGUGGAAGGAGUCGGUCGAGGUGACGGUGAGGCCUUGGUGCCAAUACUAUGUUGACGCACAGAUUGUGGCUGACGGGGUCACCUUUAGAUUCACUGGAAUCUACGGGGAACCGUGUGUGGAGAGAAGGACGAAGACGUGGGAGGUACUUCGCACCUACGUUCACAAGAUAACCUCCCGUGGAUUUGCGCGGGGGAUUUUAAUGAAGCGCUUCUCCAAAAAGAGCAGAUUGGUGGUAAUCCGAGGAGCUUGA
rnacentral:rRNA from 1 species